GCCUUCGUGGUGUAGCGGUCAGCACUCUCGGCGGGAAUUCGAGAGGUUCGCGGUUCGAAUCCCGGCGAAGACG
rnacentral:tRNA from 1 species